AACGAACGCUGGCGGCAUGCCUAACACAUGCAAGUCGAACGAGACCUUCGGGUCUAUUGGCGCACGGGUGCGUAACGCGUGGGAACCUGCCCUUAGGUUCGGAAUAACUCCCCGAAAGGGGUGCUAAUACCGGAUAAUGUCUUCGGACCAAAGAUCUAUCGCCUUUGGCUGGGCCCGCGUUGGAUUGGCGAGUUGGUAGGGUAAAAGCCUACCAAGGAGACGAUCCAUAGCUGGUCUGAGAGGAUGACCAGCCACGCUGGGAAUGAGACACGGCCCAGACUGCGAGGGGAGGGAGCAGUGGAGAAUAUUGGAGAAUGGGGGAAAGUCUGAUCAAGCAGUGCGGGGGGAGAGAGGAAGGGCUUAGGGUAGUAAAGCUCUCUUACCCGAGAUGAUAAUGACAGUACCGGGAGAAUAAGCACCGGCUAACUACGUG
rnacentral:rRNA from 1 species